GAGUUUGAUCCUGGCUCAGAUUGAACGCUGGCGGCAGGCCUAACACAUGCAAGUCGAACGGUAACAGGAAGAAGCUUGCUUCUUUGCUGACGAGUGGCGGACGGGUGAGUAAUGUCUGGGAAACUGCCUGAUGGAGGGGGAUAACUACUGGAAACGGUAGCUAAUACCGCAUAACGUCGCAAGACCAAAGAGGGGGACCUUCGGGCCUCUUGCCAUCGGAUGUGCCCAGAUGGGAUUAGCUAGUAGGUGGGGUAACGGCUCACCUAGGCGACGAUCCCUAGCUGGUCUGAGAGGAUGACCAGCCACACUGGAACUGAGACACGGUCCAGACUCCUACGGGAGGCAGCAGUGGGGAAUAUUGCACAAUGGGCGCAAGCCUGAUGCAGCCAUGCCGCGUGUAUGAAGAAGGCCUUCGGGUUGUAAAGUACUUUCAGCGGGGAGGAAGGGAGUAAAGUUAAUACCUUUGCUCAUUGA
rnacentral:rRNA from 1 species